rnacentral:rRNA from 1 species
CAAUAGCGUAUAUUAAAGCUGUUGCGGCUAAAAAGCUCGUAGUUGGAUUUCUGUCAAGGACAACUGGUCCGCCCCUCGGGUGAGCACAUAGUUUGGUCUUGGCAUCUUGUUGGAAACUGUUGCUGCACUUGGUUGUGUGGCGCAGUGUCCAGCACUUUCACUUUGAGGAAAUUGGAGUGUUUCAAGCAGGCACAUGCCUUUGGACACAGUAGCAUGGAAUAAUUAGAUUGGGCUUUUGCUCCAACUUGUCGGUUUCUGGAGCUGAGGUGAGAAUUAAUGGGGAUUGUUGGGGGCAUCCGAAUUUAGCCGCCAGAGGUGAAAUUCUUGGAUCUGCUAAAGACGGACAACUGCGAAAGCGUUUGCCCAGGAUGUUUUCAUUGA